CAGCCGGAUAGCUGCGCGGCGGAAAGUAAAAUCCGUUCGUGAGGAAAGUCCGGGCUUCAAGGAAACAAGACACCGGAUAACGUCCGGCCGGGGAGACCCGAGGGAAAGUGCCGCAGAAAUAUACCGCCCGUGGCCGCCGGAGCCGGCGGCAAGAAAGCGGGUAAGGUUGAAAAGGCGGGGUAAGAGCCCACCGCGGAGCUGGCAACAGCUCCGGCCAGGUAAACCCUGUCUGAAGCAAGACCAAGUUAGGAGGGCGGGAGCUUCGGCUCCGGUCAUACGGAUGGUUUCCAAUCCACUCCAGAGGUAGGUCGCGUUGAGCCGUACGGCAACGUCCGGCCCAGAUGAAUAGCUAUCGCGCCGCAAGGCGUACAGAACCCGGCUUACAGGCUGCCUG
rnacentral:RNase_P_RNA from 1 species